AUUGAACGCUGGCGGCAGGCCUAACACACGCAAGUCGAGCGAGAGGCGGACGGGUGCGUAAUGUCUGGGAACAUGCCUGAUGGAGGGGGAUAACUACUGGAAACGGUAGCUAAAACCGCAUACCAUGCGAUGUGCCCAGAUGGGGUUAGCUAGUGGUUGGGUUAAUGCCCCACCUAGGCGACGAUCCCUACCUGGUCUGAGAGGAUGACAAGCAACACGGCAACGUAGACACGGUCCAGACUCCUCCGGGAGGCAGCAGUGGGGAAUAUUGCACAAUGGGCGCAAGCCUGAUGCAGCCAUGCCGCGUGUGUGAAGAAGGCCUUCGGGUUGUAAAGCACUGUCAGCGGGGAGGCGUUACCCGCAGAAGAAGCACCGGCUAACUCCGUGCCAGCAGCCGCGGUAAUAC
rnacentral:rRNA from 1 species